rnacentral:misc_RNA from 1 species
GAUGAAGAACGUAGCGAAAUGCGAUAGGUAAUGUGAAUUGCAGAAUUCAGUGAAUCAUCGAAUCUUUGAACGCACAUUCCGCCCCCUGGUAUUCCGGGGGGCAUGCCUGUCCGAGCGUCAUUGCUGCCCUCAAGCACGGCUUGUGUGUUGGGCCUCCGUCCUCCUCCCGGGGGACGGGCCCGAAAGGCAGCGGCGGCACCGCGUCCGGUCCUCGAGCGUAUGGGGCUUCGUCACCCGCUCUUGUAGGCCCGGCCGGCGCUUGCCGACACAUCAAUCUUUUUUCCAGGUUGACCUCGGAUCAGGUAGGGAUACCCGCUGAACUUAAGCAUAUCAAUAAGCGGAGGA